GUUUUAUUCAUAUAAAUACUUUUUUACCGUCAUACAAACAAUAAAAAUCAAGUUGAAGAAGAAUAAAAAUCAACUGUUGUGAUGACGGCAGAUGUUUUGUUUGUGCUCUUUAUUGUCCCUCGAUUAACGCAACGCUGCAAUUUCAAAGUCCAAGUUCCCGGCGCCGGACCCACCACAUCUACGGCCUACAGAGACCGGAAACUACGCUAUCAUCUCACUCAACCUUUGCCAUCCUCCCUCAACCAAUCAUAUUUUCCCACGUCAUCAUUUUACCCUAAACCUACCAAUACCCUCUAGGCACCCAAAACCCCAUGUCCCAAUCUAUCUUGCUCCAUCUUUUUUUUUGAAUGGCUCUUGCUCCAUCUUAUUACCCUAAUCUCAAGAUUAACUCAAAAAGAAACCACCAGGGCCGUUCCUUUGUUAAUCUUGAUCCCCUGCCACAUGAUAUGUUGAUGAUUAAUUAGCGUAUGACAACAUAAAAAAGACAAACAACAAGUGGAGCAGAUAGAGAUGAUGGUGGUGGGGUGAAGAACGCAUUUGAAAAGUAAACACUUCUUCAUCUUUCUGGUUAUAAAUUCCAUCACAACCAAACCACUUAUUGUAAGAUUAUCUUGAAUCAGUCUUUACCUACACCUUUCUUUAUCAUGUUAUCACAAAGCCAACUAAAAAUAUGACACAAAGAUGUCAAAGAUGAUGGUGGUGCUUAUUUGUGUAUUCCAUGAUUAACAUGUUGUUGUUUGGUUGCUAAUUGAUGUGGAGAAAAGAGGGUUUGGUUGUGAACUGACAGAAGAGAGUGAGCACACGCAGGCAAUUGUAUAGAGGACUAUACUCUUGUUUGAGUUGCGUGUGCUCACUUCUCUUCUGUCAGCCCUUACUCUUUUUUUCUCCUCUUGUGUUGAUCUUGAUGUUAUCUGUGUGUUUUUUUGCUUUCUUUUUGUGUUUAUGUGAGCUGAUGUUAUGUGUGUGAGUGGGAAUAUAAUGAUAUAUGUUGUGGGUGUGUGUAUUUUAUGUGCAUUGUUACAUGUUUAUCUAAAUCUGGAAGCAUGGAAGACUGGAGAAGGUGCAGAAAAGAUGGACACCUGGCUACUUGUUUAUACUUUAUAUCCAUCAAUUCAGUUAAACACCACCAGCACACCACUGUUGCAAUGAAAAAGGCUGCAACUUUCACAUGACUAGCUACACCACACCACCACCACUUCUUUAUAUCUUAAAAUAUCUGUUCUUGCUUGGUUUCUUGUAACAUUAAACAGAUUCAAAUAGGAAAUCUAAGAAGAAUAGAAGAAGAGGGACAUUGGGGAUGUUACAGUAAUAUACACAGAUUACAUCACAUGAAGGUUCUUUUCCUAUUGCAAGAUCUAUACUACUGAUUGUUUAAUUCAUUUCUUGAUAUUAUUAUAAUAUAUAUUCAACUUGGGAGUUCCAAAAAUCUGUACUUUUUGUUGAAGAGAGGACGAAAUGGGAUUCUCUUGAAAUCAUUAACAAGGUACUUCAUCAUCUCCUACUAAUCAUUAGGCUAUUGGGUGUCUAGUACUCAAAAGAUAAUCCGGUCACGUGAGGGGAUGAGCCUAAAGGGAUGGAUCUAGAGUGUGGAGAUGGGCCUCAAAAAUAUAUAUAUAUGUAUAUGUGUGUGUUAGUAUAAAGAAGAAAGAGAAGUGUGGCCCCUCUUGCCGGUCUUGGGCUGGACGUUUGCGACGGGGACGACCUGAGGGCGUUGUUCGGGUCAGUCGCCACACCUGGACAUACCAGGGACAAGCCUCACACCGAGCAGUCUUAUUAAUUUUUAUUCUCUUAACUACACUUUAGCGGUUUCUAUUAUCUCUUUCCCCAAAUUUUUCUUUAAAUUUAUCUUUUAGGGUUUUCUUCUGCCAUUUCCAAUGCUUUCUUCUGGUUUCUUUUAGAAUUAAAUGGCUGAAUUCAUGGCUAAGUAUUUGAUUAUUUUCUGGGGCUGAUGUAUUUCACAUCGAAUGAAAUUUAUGUUUAAGAAAAAAGGAAAUUAUUGUGUAAGCGUAAUGUUUUUGUGAUCAGGGUUUUUUUUUGUAUAAAGUGUCGUACUUUUUGCAGGUACACAUACACAUACUUGAAACACACAGAUAACAAGGAUAGAUAGUGUGUUAUAUUUUAUAUAAAACUUUUCGUUUUGUAUGCUAUAUCAAAGACAAUCAGAACAUCUUUCUUUGGGAUGGAAGGAAGAUUGAGAAUAGUUCCAUGGAAGAUGCAUGCAAACAAAAGAGCUAAAGCUUUUGCUUUCCAUACUUCUCAGUGAGGCAUCAAAUCAAAGAGGAAUUUUCAGGCGGUUUCUUAUACAUGUUUGAUAGAGCUGUCAAAACCCAACUAGCAGUAGUCUCUUUCAUGAUGUUGAAAGCCAUGCUCUUUGUCAAAGUGCACCCGAUGACUACUAUGGCUUUGCAUCCAAGUCAGCUCAUUCUUUAACCUUCGUCUUCUAGGUUUCUAACUUGUCAAACACUGAAGAAGAUCUUUCUAACACAACAAGUCCGCAAGUUGCAUCUUUCACCAUCCAAAAUCAUGUCCUUUGACUUCUCAAUCCUGUAAUGCUACCAAGGUUUAUAUCCUCAAGUCAGUCAGGUGUCACCAGCUGUUGAACACUCGAUUGGGCUCUUUUGACUUCUAAGCACUUUGAGGUUGGCAUUUAAAUAUCAUGAAUUUUUUAAUUAUGUGGCAUGAAGAUAGAUGAAUAUGUAUCCUUGGGAACGUAAAUGACACCGCUAAAGUGGAACAAAGAGUUGGUUAAAUUAAUUGAUUAUAAGACCACCCGUAGCGGUAAAGAUUUUGGGUGUUUUUUGCCCCAAAACGCCGCUGCCACUGCCCCUUGGGCGUUGUUUUCAGAAAGGGGGGGGGGGGGGCUUGUGUAAAGAACGCCGGUGAAUGUUUCUCCAUUAUUGUUUGACCAAUCAGAAGCUUCCAAGUAUUAUUUUUUGUUUUAUUUUUUUUAAAAGAUAAUAAUUGGGUAAUAAUUGAUGGGCAUUAUCCCACUACACCCAUAUAUGAAAAACGCUCCAUAAUGCCUCUUUGCUGACUAGGCUGCGGCGCAAAACGCCCAAGAUUGGAACAUUACCACUACACAUGGUCUAAUAGGAGUUAAUAAGAUAUUAUAUAAUUGCCAGACGUUCAUUCUGGUGUUUAAAUGAUUUUUCAGACAUUAAUACAUGCUUAUUCCUUUUCACAGGCAGUUUCAUUUGAAAAUGCUCGUCUUCUCCUACUACUGAUGCAAGUGAUUCGGUUACUAUUGAACCAUAUGUUGGACUUUCGAACAUUGGGUAUGAUACUAGAGCUUUGGAUUAGGCCACAUUUCAAGGUUCUUCUAUCUAACAGUCUGGAAACACUUACCAUAUUCCAUCAAUCAAAUUACGUAAAGACCCAAGCAAGGAUGGCUCGAAUGUAAAAAAAGUAAAAUAAGCUGAAGCUUGGGCCCAAGACGGACCCCUAUAUUUAAGAGCUCCAAGUUUUUAGGGUUCAAGUUGGUUUAAUUUUUUUAGGCUUUUACAAGUAGAGCAAAUAGUUGGUAUAACUGAAAGGGUUUUAUUUUCACCAAGACUUGCUCCAAUUCUGAUGUAUAAAAAAUGUGUCAGAUCAUAUUCCUACGUCUUAGGAUCCUAAGCAGAAAAAGAGGUUGUUGCACUCUACAAUGAAUGCCGGAAAACAUGAUCAGCUCCGUGAUUUGCAACCACUUUUCUGAACACCAGAUGAGGGGGUAUGCAUGCCUCUGUAAAUACAGUUCUGUUAUGUUAUAGAAUAUACAAGUAGGGGUGUC